AUUUGUGUUUUUAGCCAAAUUGUGUUUUUAUGCUUCUUGGAGUUGUGUAUUUAAUCAACAUGUAUUUUUUGGGGUUUUAAUAAAUUUUGAUUUAAUAACAUGGGUUAGGGGAAAUCAAGUUGGGAGUCCGGUCCCCGAAGGGGGUUAGGGAUGUGGAAUAGGGUUAGGGUUAGGGUUAGGGUUAGGUGUUAGGAAAUGAGCAGGCCCGGCUAUGCCGGAACCUGAGUGCACGGGCCAUCAUUGGGACUGGUGUUGGUGCCCCCUGUUCAAAAAAUUACCCUUAAGCGGGUGUAGUGCACUGGGGUUGGGCCAUUCGCGACGUUUCGGCUUAAUUUAGCCUUCUUCAGGCUGGCCCACCCGCUCUUGUGUUCAAUUUCGCCACUCUGGGCCUUUUAUACUCCUGUUUUUCAUUCCUGUUUUUCUUAACUUUUUCUGUUUCUUAGUUUUUACUUGUUCUCAGUUUUUUCUGCUUCAGCUCUCCCUUUUUCUGUUGUUCUUUGUUCUUUCUGUUUUUCUUUACCUUUCUCUUUGUAUUUCUGUUUUUCUUUAUACUUGUUCUUUAUUCUUUGUUUUUCUUUACCUUUCUCUUUGUAUUUCUGUUUUUCCUUAUACUUGUUCUUUAUUCUUUGUUUUUCUUUACCUUUCUCUUUGUAUUUCUCUUUGUCUUUCUCUUUUUAUCUCUGUUGUUCUUUUUUCCUUUCUGUUGUUCUUUAUUAUUUCUCUUUAUUCCUCUUGUGUUCUUUUCUUUAUUCUUUCUUAUAUUUCUUUAAAUGGCACCCCCUUCUCAUUAGACAUCCCGUCCUUUGUACUGUAUUUUUCUUUUAUGGCACCCCCUUCCUGUAAAUCCUUUCCUUUUGUACUCUGUCUUUUUUCUGACCUUUCUUGUCUUUUUUCUCUUAAUUUAGGUUCUUAGGGCUCCCUUAAGAUUAGGGCUAGAAGGGGAAGGGGAGGGGGGCAAAGGGGUUAGGGUUAGGAAAAGGUAGUGGGUGGGGGGCUCCCCAUAGUUAGGGAGAGAGGCAAUGGGCAGGGGCACCACCAAUCCCAUGAGGCACUGGCUGGUUAGGUGGUAGGAAAUGAGCAGGCCCGGCUAUGCCGGAACCUGAGUGCACGGGCCAUCCAUGGGACUGGUGUUGGUGCCCCCUGUUCAAAAAAUUACCCUUAAGCGGGUGUAGUGCACUGUGGUGGGCCAUUCGCGACGUUUCGGCUUUUCUUAGCCUUCUUCAGGCUGGCCCACCCGCUUUUGUGUUCUGUUUCGCCACUCUGGGCCUUUUAUACUGUUCUUUUCCUUUCUGUUUUUCUUAACUUUUUCUGGUUCUUAG
ensembl:lncRNA